rnacentral:rRNA from 1 species
UUAAAUUGAAGAGUUUGAUCAUGGCUCAGAUUGAACGCUGGCGGCAGGCCUAACACAUGCAAGUCGAGCGGUAACAGAAAGCAGCUUGCUGCUUU